GAUGGGCCGGCGGCCGAUUAGGUAGUUGGUGGGGUAACGGCCCACCAAGCCGAAGAUCGGUACGGGCCAUGAGAGUGGGAGCCCGGAGAUGGACACUGAGACACGGGUCCAGACCCUACGGGGCGCAGCAGGCGCGAAACCUCCGCAAUGCUCGAAAGAGCGACGGGGGGACCCCCAGUGCCGUGGCAUCGCCACGGCUUUUCCGGAGUGUAAAGAGCUCCGGGAAUAAGGGCUGGGCAAGGCCGGUGGCAGCCGCCGCGGUAAUACCGGCGGCCCGAAUAGUGGCCGCUAUUAUUGGGCCUAAAGCGUCCGUAGCCGGGCCAGUAAGUCCCUGGCGAAAUCCCACGGCUCAACCGUGGGGCUUGCUGGGGAUACUGCUGGCCUUGGGACCGGGAGAGGCGGAGGGUACUCCUGGGGUAGGGGUGAAAUCCUAUAAUCCCAGGAGGACCGCCAGUGGCGAAGGCGCUCCGCUGGAACGGGUCCGACGGUGAGGGACGAAGGCCAGGGGAGCGAACCGGAUUAGAUACCCGGGUAGUCCUGGCUGUAAAGGAUGCGGGCUAGGUGUCGGGUGAGCUUCGAGCUCGCCCGGUGGCGAAGGGAAGCCGUUAAGCCCGCCGCCUGGGGAGUACGACCGCAAGGCUGAAACUUAAAGGAAUUGACGG
rnacentral:rRNA from 1 species